AAUCUUCCACAAUGGGCGAAAGCCUGAUGGAGCGACGCCGCGUGAAGGAUGAAGGCCCUAGGGUCGUAAACUUCUAAAAGAGGGACGAUGAUGACGGUACCUCUUGAAAAGCACCGGCUAACUCCGUGCCAGCAGCCGCGGUAAUACGGAGGGUGCAAGCGUUAUCCGGAAUCACUGGGCGUAAAGGGCGCGUAGGUGGUCUGUUAAGUCUGGCGUUAAAGCCUGGGGCUCAACCCCAGAUCAGCGUUGGAUACUGGCAGGCUAGACGGUUGGAGAGGCGAGUGGAAUUACCAGUGUAGCGGUGGAAUGCGUAGAUACUGGUAGGAACACCCAUUGCGAAGGCAGCUCGCUGGACAACACGUGACACUGAGGCGCGAAAGUGUGGGGAGCAAACC
rnacentral:rRNA from 1 species